GACGAACGCUGGCGGCGUGCCUAAUACAUGCAAGUAGAACGCACAGUUUAUACCGUAGCUUGCUACACCAUAGACUGUGAGUUGCGAACGGGUGAGUAACGCGUAGGUAACCUGCCUGGUAGCGGGGGAUAACUAUUGGAAACGAUAGCUAAUACCGCAUAAUAUUAAUUAUUGCAUGAUAAUUAAUUGAAAGGUGCAAUUGCACCACUACCAGAUGGACCUGCGCUGUAUUAGCUAGUAGGUGAGGUAACGGCUCACCUAGGCGACGAUACAUAGCCGACCUGAGAGGGUGAUCGGCCACACUGGGACUGAGACACGGCCCAGACUCCUACGGGAGGCAGCAGUAGGGAAUCUUCGGCAAUGGACGAAAGUCUGACCGAGCAACGCCGCGUGAGUGAAGAAGGUUUUCGGAUCGUAAAGCUCGGUUGUAAGAGAAGAACGGGUGUGAGAGUGGAAAGUUCACACUGUGACGGUAUCUUACCAGAAAGGGACGGCUAACUACGUG
rnacentral:rRNA from 1 species